GAUGAAGAACGUAGCGAAAUGCGAUACUUGGUGUGAAUUGCAGAAUCCCGUGAACCAUCGAGUCUUUGAACGCAAGUUGCGCCCGAAGCCACUAGGCCGAGGGCACGCCUGCCUGGGCGUCACACGCCGUUGCCCCCCCAUCUACUCCUUCGGGAUUGCGGGGGGGCGGAUGAUGGCCUCCCGUGCGCCUAGCCGCGCGGUUGGCAUAAAUACCAAGUCCUCGGCGACGCACGCCACGACAAUCGGUGGUUACGAAACCUCGGUUGCCCGUCGUGUGCGUUCGUCGCGCAUCGAGGGCUCGAAAAAAUGCUCGGCUCCGGCUGGGCUUUCAACGCGACCCCAGGUCAGGCGGGGUUACCCGCUGAAUUUAAGCAUAUCAAUAAGCGGAGGA
rnacentral:misc_RNA from 1 species